UACGAAGGGGGCUAGCGUUGUUCGGAAUUACUGGGCGUAAAGCGCGCGCAGGCGGGCUGACAAGCCAGAGGUGAAAUCCCCAAGCUUAACUUGGGAACUGCCUUUGGAACUGUUAGUCUGGAGUCUUGGAGGGGGUGGUGGAAUUCCUAGUGUAGAGGUGAAAUUCGUAGAUAUUAGGAGGAACACCGGUGGCGAAAGCGACCACCUGGACAAGUACUGACGCUGAGGCGCGAAAGCGUGGGGAUCAAACAGG
rnacentral:rRNA from 1 species